CAAUAGCGUAUAUUAAAGUUGUUGCGGUAAAAAAGCUCGUAGUUGGAUUUCUACCGAAGAUAGCCGGUCGGGUCUUCGACCUUGUAUCUGGUUUUGUCUUUGGUAUCCUCAUAGGGAACGUUUCUGCGCUUUAUUGCGUGGUGCGGUAUCUAUGACUUUUACUUUGAGGAAAUUAGAGUGUUCACGGCAGGCAAACGCCUUGAAUAUAUUAGCAUGGAAUAAUAACAUAGGAUCUUCGUCCUAUUUUGUUGGUUUCUAGGGCUAAGAUAAUGAUUAAUAGGGAUAAUUGGGGGCAUCUGGAUCAACGCGUCAGAGGUGGAAUUCUUGGAUUGCGUUGCGACAAACUACUGCGAAAGCAUUUGCCAAGGAUGUUUUCAUUGA
rnacentral:rRNA from 1 species